rnacentral:rRNA from 1 species
UACGUAGGGUGCGAGCGUUAAUCGGAUUUACUGGGCGUAAAGGGCGCGUAGGCGGCCACCGCAAGUCGACUGUGAAAUCUCCGGGCUUAACCCGGAAAGGUCAGCCGAUACUGCGGGGCUAGAGUGCAGAAGGGGCAACUGGAAUUCUCGGUGUAGCGGUGAAAUGCGUAGAUAUCGAGAGGAACACCUGCGGCGAAGGCGGGUUGCUGGGCUGACACUGACGCUGAGGCGCGAAAGCUAGGGGAGCGAACGGG